rnacentral:rRNA from 1 species
ACGGAAGGCAGCAGUGGGGGAUAUUGGACAAUGGGGGAAACCCUGAUCCAGCGACGCCGCGUGAGUGAAGAAGUAUUUCGGUAUGUAAAGCUCUAUCAGCAGGGAAGAAAAAAUCAAAAUUGACUGUACCUGACUAAGAAGCUCCGGCUAACUACGUGCCAGCAGCCGCGGUAAUACGUAGGGGGCAAGCGUUAUCCGGAUUUACUGGGUGUAAAGGGUGCGUAGGCGGCACGGCAAGUCAGAAGUGAAAUCCCGGGGCUCAACCCUGGAACUGCUUUUGAAACUGUCGAGCUAGAGUACAGGAGAGGUAAGCGGAACUCCUAGUGUAGCGGUGAAAUGCGUAGAUAUUAGGAGGAACACCAGUGGCGAAGGCGGCUUACUGGACUGACACUGACGCUGAGGCACGAAAGCGUGGGGAGCAAACAGGAUUAGAUACCCUGGUA